rnacentral:rRNA from 1 species
GGAUGCGAUCAUACCAGCACUAAAGCACCGGAUCCCAUCAGAACUCCGAAGUUAAGCGUGCUUGGGGGAGAGUAGUACUAGGAUGGGUGACCUCCUGGGAAGUCCUAGUGUUGCAUUCC